CUCGAGGAAAAUUGUUAAAAAGUAGUUUGAUCGAAAUGCGCCAAUCACAGCAGACCACCGCCAUACAUAAUGCUGUAGCGGACCCAGUCGACCCCAUCGCCUGAAGAAGACUGGUAGUAAGCAGUCGAAACGUCGCGAUUAACAAUUAAGUGACUUGUCAUGAGACAAAAG